UACGGAGGGAGCUAGCGUUGUUCGGAAUUACUGGGCGUAAAGCGCACGUAGGCGGCUUUGUAAGUUAGAGGUGAAAGCCCGGAGCUCAACUCCGGAACUGCCUUUAAGACUGCAUCGCUUUGAAUCCAGGAGAGGUGAGUGGAAUUCCGAGUGUAGAGGUGAAAUUCGUAGAUAUUCGGAAGAACACCAGUGGCGAAGGCGGCUCACUGGACUGGUAUUGACGCUGAGGUGGCGAAAAGCGUGGGGAGCAAACAGGG
rnacentral:rRNA from 1 species